rnacentral:rRNA from 1 species
CGCCUUUUGAAUUAUUAACAUGAAAGGUCCUGCCUGCCCAGUGACACUUGUUUCAACGGCCGCGGUAUUAUGACCGUGCAAAGGUAGCGUAAUCACUUGUCUUUUAAAUAAAGACCAGUAUGAAUGGCAAGACGAAAGCCUAACUGUCUCCCUGAACUAGUCAAUAAAAUUGACUUUCCCGUGCAGAUGCGGGAAUAAUAAUAUAAGACGAGAAGACCCUGUGGAGCUUUAAACUUAAGCUAACAAAAUAUAAAUGCACUAGCACCAAGUUUUGGGUUGGGGCGACCAUGAGGUAAAACAUAACCCUCAAGACGAAAACUAAGAAGGACACUUCAUAUAAAUAUUAAUAGCAUAAUUGACCCAAUAAUUGAUCAACGAACCAAGUUACCCCAGGGAUAACAGCGCAAUCUACUCAAAGAGCCCUUAUCGACGAGCAGGUUUACGACCUCGAUGUUGGAUCAGGACCCCCAAAUAAUGCAACAAUUAUUAAAGGUUCGUUUGUUCAACGAUUAAAGUCCU